CCUACGGGGGGCUGCAGUGGGGAAUAUUGGACAAUGGGCGAAAGCCUGAUCCAGCCAUGCCGCGUGUGUGAAGAAGGCCUUCGGGUUGUAAAGCACUUUCAGUGGGGAAGAAAGCCUUGGGGCUAAUACCCUCGAGGAAGGACAUCACCCACAGAAGAAGCACCGGCUAACUCCGUGCCAGCAGCCGCGGUAAUACGGAGGGUGCGAGCGUUAAUCGGAAUUACUGGGCGUAAAGCGCGCGUAGGCGGUCUGAUAAGCCGGUUGUGAAAGCCCCGGGCUCAACCUGGGAACGGCAUCCGGAACUGUCAGGCUAGAGUGCAGGAGAGGAAGGUAGAAUUCCCGGUGUAGCGGUGAAAUGCGUAGAGAUCGGGAGGAAUACCAGUGGCGAAGGCGGCCUUCUGGACUGAAACUGACGCUGAGGUGCGAAAGCGUGGGUAGCAAACAGGAUUAGAUACCCUUGUAGUC
rnacentral:rRNA from 1 species